rnacentral:rRNA from 1 species
AAGGUUUCCGAAGCUAUGGUGAUCAACUUCGGGUUAGUCGGGCCUAAGGGGAUGGUGAAAACCGCACCCGAUGGACACACUGUUAAUAUUCAGUGACCAUUCAUGUAUGCGAUGGAGAGACGGACGGUUGUAAUUGCUGCCCAUUAUUGGAUUUGGGUUCGCUCGUGAGGAGGUGUCUUAGGGAAAUCCGGGACGCACAUACUCCAAGCAACGCGACAAUUUCCUUCUUCGGAGGGAGAGAGAGCAGUGAGCACGGUUCCGAGAAAAUCUUCUAAGCUUCAGUACAUGAUGACCGUACCGCAAACCGACACAGGUGAUCAGGUCGAGUAGACCAAGACGAACGAGUGAGAGGUCCUCAAGGAACUCGGCAAAAUAGCGGCCGUAAGUUAGCGAUAAGGCCUGCCCAUAGCAAUAUGGGCCGCAGCUAAAGACUCCCUGGCAACUGUUUACCAAAAACACAGCUCCCUGCGAACUCGAAAGAGGAUGUAUAGGGGGUGACACCUGACCAAUGCCAGAAGGUUAAAUAUCGGCGUUCUUUCCUUGUCGCAAGAUAAGGAAAGGGUGACUGAUAUAAGCCCUGGUGAAUGUCGGCCGUAACUAUAACGGUCCUAAGGUAGCGAAGUACCUUGUCGGGUAAGUUCCGACGCGCACGAAUGGCGUAAUGACUGGGAAACUGUCUCGGAGACCAGCUCGGUGAAAAUACAAUACCGGUGAAGAUGCCGGUUAAGUGCAGUUAGACGAAAAGACCCUAGAAGCUUUACUAUAACUUGAUAUUGGGUAUGUUAUUUUUCUGCGUAGAAUAUAAGGGAGACUUUGAAGUAAUUUUUUCGGGAAUUAUGGAGUCGACAGUGCAAUACCUUACUUAAAAAUGGCAUAUCCUAACCAAUACGGCAAAAACGUAUUGAGACAGUAUCUGGUGGAUAGUUUUACUGGGGCUGUACCCUCCUAAAGAGUAAAGGAGGGGUUUAAAGGUCAUCUAGGCGCGAAUGGAAACCGUGCCGAUAGUGUAAUGGCAUAAGAUGGCUUGACUGUAAGGAGGACAUUCCAAGCAGGUGGGAAACCAGAACAUAGUGAUCCGACCAUACGUAUUAGAUGCGGUGGGAGCUCAACGGAUAAAAGCUACUCUAGGGAUAACAGGCUAGUUCCGCCCAAGAGUUCAUAUCGACGGCGGAGUUCGGCACCUCGAUGUCGGCUCACCUUAGCGCGGUGGUGGAGAAGCUACCAAGCGUAUGGCUGUUCGCCAUUUAAAAAGGUACGCGAGCUGGGUUCAGACCGUGGAGGAGUUGUAUCAUGUAGCAAUACAUAUCGCGACUUUUCCACAGUCUGAAUCCUCAGAGGAAGAUAAUUUGAAUAUGAAUUAGAACUGUUAUUAAAAUUGAAACCAACUAAGUACACAGUAUGUGUACGCACGGCGGUACUGAGACAUUUUGUCGAAGUAAGAAGUCGGGGUUUUCGGUAAAAUCCUAACGUGAAAACGAGGACAAUACCGAGAAGAAAAUUUUAUUUUCUUUGUAGAGACUACAAACCGACCCCUUAAAUUAAAUUUAUAGGGAAUGUAUAGUCCAAUCCCA